rnacentral:rRNA from 1 species
GACGGAGGAUGCAAGCGUUAUCCGGAAUGAUUGGGCGUAAAGCGUCUGCAGGUGGCAGUUCAAGUCUGCUGUCAAAGACCGGGGCUUAACUUCGGAAAGGCAGUGGAAACUGAACAGCUAGAGUAUGGUAGGGGCAGAGGGAAUUCCUGGUGUAGCGGUGAAAUGCGUAGAGGUCAGGAAGAACAUCGGUGGCGAAGGCGCUCUGCUGGACCAUAACUGACACUCAGGGACGAAAGCUAGGGGAGCGAAUGGG